CAAAGAUAAUGACAACUGAACGCUUCCCACUUACGUGAUACAGUUGAACAUGUCCCUCCAAGGAGAUUUCUCAACCGGGUGGUCAACAACCGAAAACCAUCCAUUUAGUUCGUAAACGAAGC
rnacentral:lncRNA from 14 species